GACCUGAUAGCAUAACUGGUUAGUGGGUCUGCUAGAAAUGCGGGAGUGGUUAAGACUUUAAGCAGAAGACCCCCCGUUCGAUUCGGGGUCAGGUCA